rnacentral:rRNA from 1 species
UGCAUAUCCAAAAGCGGAGGAAAAGAAACCAACAGGGAUUACCUCAGUAACGGCGAGUGAAGCGGUAACAGCUCAAAUUUGAAAUCUGGCUCCUCGGGGCCCGAAUUGUAAUUUGUAGAAGAUGCUUUGGGUCUGGGCCUGGCCUAAGUUCCUUGGAACAGGACGUCGUAGAGGGUGAGAAUCCCGUAUGCGGCUGGCGCCCGUGCCCGUGUAAAGCUCUUUCAACGAGUCGAGUUGUUUGGGAAUGCAGCUCUAAAUGGGUGGUAAAUUUCAUCUAAAGCUAAAUAUUGGCCAGAGACCGAUAGCGCACAAGUAGAGUGAUCGAAAGAUGAAAAGCACUUUGGAAAGAGAGUUAAACAGUACGUGAAAUUGUUGAAAGGGAAGCGCUGGCAACCAGACUUGGGCGCUGUUGAUCCGCUAGGGUUCUCUCUAGGGCACUCGGCAGUGCGCAGGCCAGCAUCGGUUUGGGGGGUUGGAGAAUGGCUGGUGGAAUGUGGCUGUCUUUGGGCAGUGUUAUAGCCACCGGUGGCAUGCAGCCUCCCCGGACCGAGGACCGCGCUUCGGCUAGGAUGCUGGCGUAAUGGUUGUCAGCGACCCGUCUUGAACCCAAGGACCAA